rnacentral:rRNA from 1 species
UGGUGGAGCGAUUUGUCUGGUUAAUUCCGUUAACGAACGAGAUCGAAACUUACUAACUAGCAGUGCUUAGCGUCUUUACGAGUGAAACCAGCGAUGCAGAUGGAGCUUUCGAAAGGGAGCGCCGUUUCUCGCUGGCGGAUCUUUGAUGAUUAGGUCGCUGCUUCUUAGAAGGACAAUUGGGGUUACCCAAAGGAAGAUCGGUAAUAACA